CAUCACACAAAUCGUUGAUUGUUGAUGAAUGAAUCCGUAUAGAUGAUGAGGGUGAUGGUGUAAUUGUUGAUGUACGAAGGAGAACCAGUAGGAGUUGUAGGUUCUCUGUGUGAGGUGAUGAAUCCAGGAGAGAGUUAGGGUUAGGGUUUGUUCUUGAGGUGAAGAAAUCAUGAAAGGAUGAUAGAUCUGUUGAGAACCCCGAUGAUUCAUGGUGGUCCUGUUAAAUCAAGUGUUGAUUCAACUCAGCGAAAAUGAUGAAGAGGGAAGAUAAUAAGAAACUAAUGUUGCCUUCCGAGGGUAUGAUGGUGCCGAGGAGGAGGAAUAGGAGAAUGAGAAAUUCAACAGUGUAAUUAAGGCGAAGAGAUGAGAGGAAAGGGGGAAAUUUAUGAGAUUAAGGGUUUAGGAUAAAAAAAGGUGGAAUCAUUGGGUGGAGGAAGGAGAGAAAAAGGAAGAAUUGUGCUAUUGGAAGUACAAGUAGAAGCAGAAGUACAAUUUAACGUGUUUAUAGCGAUUGUUGGUUGAUCUUGGUUGUAGUUUGUAGAACAUGGAGAUGAAUUCAACCCAAAUAAGGUACCAAUAAUGAUUUUUUACUUCAUAUGAUCUAUUUUUUCAUGUUGUUUCAGGCAUCUCGCGAUCAUUUACAUGAUUCAACUGUGAACUUAAAGUACAAGUUUACACUUUCAUAUUGUUGUUGAAUGAUUUUUUUGUUGAUUAUAAGACCUCUCAGGGGCUUGCUUAAGAAUAAGAAAGAUGAAUCUAAUGAUCUAGGUGUUUGUUAAUUGAAAUUGCAUAAGUAUUGCACACCAACUGCUCGAAAGCAUAUCCCAGUGACCAAUGUUUUAACUCUCGAUUGGUAUGAGCUUGCGAUGAAUUUUCCCCUUGACCUAACUGAUUCCAAAAGGAUCUUUAUAUCCAAACAUAGGAGCAAUGAGCCAAACCCAACGAUUUGAAGAAAGGAAUUAUAAUCCUACCACCUAUUUUUUGUGAAGAACAAGUUUGUUUCUAAAUCAGCUGAGAUUAUAGGGUUCGAUUGUGAUGGUGGACAUACAUGAUUAUAAGAUUGAAGGAAGGAGGUUACAUAAUCCCUAGUGCAACCGUUGUACUUCAUUUAGCUCUUAACCUCGCCAUAACAGAAGAACCCAGAUGAAGUAUCCAGAGGAUUUUUGGAUUUGAUGGAAAGGGCUAGGGUGUGAUUACAUAUUAUCAGGUGGCCAUAGAGGAGGCUGACAAGAUGUUAGAUAUGAAUUUCGAGCCACAAAUAAGACAUACCCCAACGAGGUGCUAGCCAGACCAUGUUAUUUCAUGUCACCUUUAUAAUGGAGAUACAGGCAUGCAUAAAAUGUAUGGCGUAUGCGAAGCUGCUAAGAAAAUCGGGCAACGUUAGACAUUACCAUGAAUAACUGCAUCGGACAUACGUGUUGCCGCAAACCACAAAGAGCUUUUCAACCAACUAGCAAAAAUGUAUUCAGCUUUGCCCGCAAACGGUCUUUUAACCACAAACUCUCUGCAGAACUUGUCAUUCAUACUCACCGGCCCACCUAGCAACUUUACGCCGUCAGAGGGUCUGCUGAUAUCAUCUGUGGAAACACCCGACACCAAGCCUCUGUCAUCAACUGUAGGCCAAUAAAUCUGCGUCUUAGUCACAUUAAGAUGUAGACAAAGGGCCGGCCCUUCCUGCUGUACUAUCUCCAAGGCCUUAGCCACCAUGAGUGUGUCUCCAAUCAAGGUCCCGUCGUCCAGGUAUCAGGCCUGAAGCUCCAACUGGCGCUAUCUAGCAAUGCUAUGAAUAAGAGCAUUUGGAAAUACAUGUUUUUGAUUUGAUCCAUCAAAAAUUUGGUGCCUGCGAGUUUUAAACUCAGGUAACUGGUAUCAUCAUCUAGUGACACCGACAUCAAACACAACCUUUAAUCAUAUUAAUUCAAAAAAAAAAAA